UACGAAGGGUGCAAACGUUGCUCGGAAUUAUUGGGCGUAAAGCGCACGUAGGCGGCUUUGCAAGUCGGAUGUGAAAUCCCUCGGCUUAACCAAGGAAGUGCAUCCGAAACUGCAGAGCUUGAGUACUUAAGAGGAUCGCGGAAUUCCCGGUGUAGAGGUGAAAUUCGUAGAUAUCGGGAGGAACACCAGUGGCGAAGGCGGCGAUCUGGGAAGAUACUGACGCUGAGGUGCGAAAGCGUGGGGAGCAAACAGG
rnacentral:rRNA from 2 species